GCUUUCUCUCUCGCUUUGCUAUCUAUGUAAACCCGAGAGAAAUUCCAUGGAAACAUCACGCCUGCAAACGAAGUUGCAGGCCCACACACAAGCAAACUCCAUCUGAAAGCCGAAGAAUCCAAAGGUAAAUCCCUUCGAACUCUUCGAUUAUGAACGUCCAUCGUCUUCCUCCUUAUCUUCUUCUUCUGCUGCUGCUUCGACCAGUAGGGAUACUUGAGGCCCGAAUCGAACGGUCAGGGUUUUGAUGGAGGGUUUGGCGGGUCCGACGAUCCGAUUUUGCCAGCGCCGUCGGAGAUGCUGCCUGAGAAGGGCUUCGCUCUCAGAGAAUGGAUGAGGUAGGGUCUCGAAUUCUGAUUGUUUUCGAUUGAACCGAUAGUUCUGUAUAGCAAUUAAAUUUUGACUCUUUUGUGCAAUUUAGUUGAAAGUUGUUGGUUUUGAUUUGGUUCUACUCUUUUAGUUGAAAGUAGUCAUUUAAGAACAUUUUAAAUAUUUUUGGGGUAGAGCAAAAGUCCAAUUCGAACUAGAGGGUUGAGCGGGAUUUUGGGGGUAGGGUUCUGAGGGAAUGGGCCGCGGGCCGCGGUGACAGGGAGAGUGCAAUUCGAGGGACAGAAAGAGAGAGGGUUGUGUGGUCAUCAGUCCUCUUUUACCUCCAUGAUCCAUUAGCUUUUUCUCUUUUGUGCUUUUUUCAUUGUCAUAGACUCUAAUCUCUCUCUGUUUUUUCUCUCUCUAAAUUGGUAAAAAUAACUU
rnacentral:lncRNA from 1 species